rnacentral:tRNA from 1 species
GUUAUAAUAGUUUAAUAUAAAACAUUGGUCUUGUAAACCAAAAUUAGAUAACAAUCUUUAUAACU